CUAGGAUGAGGCUGGAUACCACAGUCCCUCGUAAGUCUGUUGUUUCUGCCCUUGGAGUCGCCAUUUUUCUCCUCCUUUCCCCUCUCUCUGAAGAAGCCAUGCUCUCGCUGUCCGCCCGACCCAUCCUCGCCGCCUUCCUCCUCCCCAAGCCCAAGCCCAAGCCCCGCCGCCUCCUCCUCCUCCUCCUCAGACACCUCCACUCCUCCUCCUCCGCCUCCGCGCUGACGCCGCCCACCCCGCGGACCACCACCCCCGACCUUCCGGAGGACGCGGACCCCACGCCGCUCUUCCUCCGCCCGCCGGCCCACCCCGUCCCGGAUGCCUCGCUCGCCGCCUUCCGCCUCCGGGCCGCGGCGCUCGUCCCGCCCUCCGCGCCGCACCUCCACCGCCACCUCCGCUGGCUCCUCGCGGACGCCUCCGCCCCCGCCCCGUCCAGCGCCGACCCGGCGGCGCCCCACCUCCACCUCCUCCGCGCGCCGCUCGACGAGCUCGAGGCCCUGUGGCUCCGCCACGUCCGGGACAGGCGCCCGUUCCAGUACGUGGUCGGGAACGAGCACUGGAAGGACCUGGUGGUCGCGGUCCGGGACGGCGUGCUCAUCCCGCGGCCCGAGACGGAGGCCGUCGUCGACAUGGUCGGGGCGGUAGAGGGGUUCCAGGACGGGUGGUGGGCGGACCUCGGGACCGGCAGCGGCGCCAUCGCCGUGGCCGUGGCCAGGAUGCUGGGGCCCGCGGGGAGGGUGUUCGCCACCGACGUCAGCGAGGUCGCUGUUGAGGUCGCGCGGCUCAACGUCCACAGGUACGGCGUGCAGGAUAAAGUUGAGAUAAGGCGCGGCUCAUGGUUCGAACCUCUAGAAGAUGUCAAGGGAAAACUGAUGGGUGUCAUUAGUAACCCUCCAUACAUACCAACUGAUGACCUACCUGGCCUGCAACCUGAAGUUGGUUGGCAUGAACCAAAAUUGGCACUUGAUGGAGGCAAAGAUGGCCUUGAUCAUUUGCUUCAUCUAUGUGAAGGGUUAUCUUCGGCACUGAUGCCUGGAGGUUUCUUUGUUUUUGAGACAAAUGGCAACAAGCAGUCUGAGUUUCUUGUCGACUUCAUUAGUACAAAGUGGAGCUCUUCUUUUUGCGACGUGGAGGCAGUUUUAGACUUUGCAGACAUCAAACGUUUUGUAAGAGGGUACCGCAGAUGAAAAAAUAAACAUGGAUGCGGAUUAAAUAUUCUGGAGAUCACUUCUGUUCCUUAGUGAUUUUGGGAACCUUAUCUCACGAUGAGUUCGUUUUUGCUCGUAAAUUUGCUGAAUUUCCGUGUCUAAACUUCCCAGCCCAGCUGGCCUGGUUCCUGAUUGAAUAACAUAUCCAGUAGAGCUUGAUAUGCAUUGCAGCCCCCUACCAGUUUGAAAAGAAAAAGGCGGUAUCGAUGUUCAUAUUCUGUGCUUGGCUUCAGCGAGAAGCGAGCAAACCCGAUUACACAAUUCCCUCUGGGCAUUUAUCGCUUGCGGCUUAAGCGUUUGUAGUGGGCAAUAACAUAGUACAAGUCAAUCAUGAUCCCUGUGCAUAUGAGUGAGAUGGGAUGGUAUUGUUUUGCCGAGCUGCCAUUGAUGGUCCAAGGAAGCUUCUCUAGGCUACGGUGGACACAGGUCUAGUAGUUUGCAUACAAAAAGGUGUACCUGGCAUUUGUUUUUAAGGGGGUGAUAUGUGUGGCCAAUUGUUCUUUUUGGCGUGUUGGGCCGUGAUGAUGUGAUCUGGAGGGAGAGGCUGCUUUUGUGGCCUCCAAAUUAUUCCGUCGUCCACAAGCGACUGGUGUGCUUAAUUAUUUGUCCCUGCUGAUAA